ACCACGCAGGGCCUUCUGUGUUGACCCUCGUCAGUGAGCAGCGGUGGGACUUCGGCCACUCUUGCCGGAUUGGGGCCUGGAGCGGCUAGCCCAGCUAUCAGGGGCACAAUGACCGCGGUAACGUCAACUACUGUCCACUGUCAGCACCCACUGGAAAUCCAGCUGAGUCCUGAAGAAGGUAACCUACCUGGAGGGAAUGGAGAAUGGAGUCCAACACUAGCCUAGUUUGGGAACCAAGUCACGACCUGAAGGUCUGAGUUCCGGAAGCGAGCUGUGGUCGGAGUGGCAGCAGAACAAGCUCAGGCCGAGUCGCAGGAGCAGAGCAAGCGUGGGCUGAGUCCUGGAAACGGGCUGUAGCGGGAGCUAGGAGCCGAGUUGUAGCCAUGUCCCGGAGUGGCAGCAAAGCAAGCCCAGGGCGGCUCAGUCAGUGAGUUGUGGCGGCGAGUCUAGGACAGAGGCCAGUUCAUGGAGGCAGUGAGGCCUCACGUCCUGAAGCCCCAGCACACACAGACUCAAUAAGAAAGGACUAUAAGUUGAGUACUUUGAAGACGCUUUUAAUUCUCAUUCUGGACUUUUAAACUCUAUUUCCAUGUUAAUCUUUUGUUUUACUAUUUCAAUUCAGUAACAACACUUUAUGUACCUGUACUGAGAGGCGACAUUAACAAACUUGUCACUGCAGUCAUUCACAUGCACAUGAUAAUAAAGGCUACUCUAAUCUGUUCUACUUA